UGACGGUACCCUUUCGAAUAAGAGGUUGCUAACUCUGUGCCAGCAGCAGCGGUAAUACAGAGACCUCGAGCGUUAUCCGGAUUUACUGGGCGUAAAGCGUCCGUAGGGGGUUUGUUAAGUUCCAAGUAAAAUCUUAAGGCUCAACUUUAAGUUCGCUUGGAAAACUAAUAAACUGGAGUCCAGCAGAGGUGCAUGGAACUUGCGGUGUAGGAGUGAAAUCCGUUGAUAUCGCAAGGAACACCAAAGGCGAAGGCAUUGCACUGGGCUGGUACUGACCCUGAGAGACGAAAGCGUGGGGAGCAAAACGGAUUAGAUACCCGUGUAGUCCACGCCGUAAACGAUGGAUACUAGAUGUUCGGGGAUUCGACCCCCUGGGUGUCACAGCUAACGCGUUAAGUAUCCCGCCUGGGAAGUACGGCCGCAAGGCUAAAACUCAAAGGAAUAGACGGGGAUCCGCACAAGCGGUGGAGCGUCUGGUUUAAUUUGAUAGUAAGCAAUGGACCUCACCAAGGUUUGACAUCCUAUGACAACCCUGGAAACAGGGCUUCCUUCGGGCAUAGUGACAGGUGCUGCAUGGUCGUCGUCAGUUCGUGCCGUGAGGUGUUCCGUUAAGUCGGGAAACGAACGAAACCCUCGUCGCAUGUUACAAAUUUCAUGCGAGACUGCCCGGGUCAACCGGGAGGAAGGCGGGGAUGACGUCAGAUCAGCAUGGCCCUUAUACCUUGGGCUACACAGGUGCUACAAUGGCCGGUACAAAGGGUUGCAAAACCGCGAGGUGAAGCUAAUCCCAUAAAGCCGGUCCAAGUUCGGAUUGGAGGCUGCAACUCGCCUCCAUGAAGUUGGAAUCGCUAGUAAUCGUGGAUCAGCCAUACCACGGUGAAUACGUUCCCGGAUCUUGUACUCACCGCCCGUCACACCAAGAGAGUUGGUAGCUCCUGAAGCGUCGCAUUAG
rnacentral:rRNA from 1 species